AAACAGUGAGACUAGCCUGACAGCCUGUUUACAGCUGAUUAAAUCUAGGUGGUGUUUUGACACUGCUCAAGUCUGAGUUGAUGUCAUUGUAACUGUCAGAAAACAUCAGAAUUCAAACUUCAUGUGCUCCAUGGGUGCAUUCAAAAGCACAAACUCCGAAAUCUCUGUUAAUGUAGUCUGGAUGAUGGUCAAAUGAGAUCAGCCGAUCUUUGGAUACGCUGUCAAAACCCCAUCAUCGGAUCACACCGAGGAUUCUUGGGCGUAAUCUCUAACAGACCAUGAAGAUGGAGGAAAACUGUCAAACAACAUAAAAAAAGGAAAGUCCAGAAGUGUCAGGACAGAACACAGGGCUGGACUCAGAUGCAGAGUUUAAGAGGUUUUAAUCCCUGAAAGACACUAUAGCUGUGGUACAUGAAUCACCCAAACAAACUGGCACAGGACAAAGGGAGACUCCGACUAUUUAAGGCACGAGGAAGGGAAACACAGGUGGAAACAAUCAGGGAAGAUUAAACAGUCACACCUGUAGAGAAUAGACAAGGGCAGGAAGUAACAAGGCCUGAAACAAGAGGAGACAAACAUGGACCAAAAGUGCACAACUCAGGACAUGAGAUGAGACUGAAGAGACUUGACAAGAAGAGUUUUCUGGAAGGAUUGGACCGACGGUGUUGCUGCUGACAGACGUUUAGUUGCGGCUGCUGCAGGUGGAUCUGCUGUAAAGACACACAAACCUGUGAGAGCUGAGAGCCUUUCUGCUGAAGCUGAAAACAUGACGCUGUGUUUUCAGGCCGGCGGCCAUUUCUGCUAUGAUGUGAUCUCUUUGAGUGUGUUAUUUAUGACCUGGGGGGUUGGAUUUUCUCAGCGUCAUCGUCCAUCAGGGCUUUUAUGGAUUGAUAAGUCUACGGUCAGCCUUCUCAGAGCUCGUAAACAGGACCACCUGACCAUCCCCAAUGCUCCUGUGGCAGACUGCCCCCCCUCUCCUCCCCGGACUGCGCCCCCCACCAUGAAGGUAGGAGCAUCUCUGACAUAAAGAAAGUCUACGUCAGAAUUAUACUCUGCUUAUGUGUCCUUAUCCCACUUCUGUCUUUUAAGAGCAAAUUCACAGCCAAGCUCGUUUUCAGGAACUGCACUAAGAAAUCGUUUUUUAUUGUUGAGGUCCAGUCCAAUCCCCAUCCCCCCCAUGAGACCACAGGAUUCCUAAUUGUGUUUCUAAUGAGUCUGAAGACAAAGCUUUGGUCAAUAUGCAUUCCUAGUGACCAUGAGCUGUUUAGAUCAGACACAAGCAGCAGAAAUGAGCUUGGGCCAGAGAUUUCUGGUUGGUAAGGCACGUUAUCUCCCUUUCAACACGAUCAAGUGUAGCCUUGGGUCACGAAGUGAGAAAAUAGGCAGUGUUAUGAGAAACCCUACAUGAAAACAGGAAAAGGCCUCAUGUCAGUCAAUGAUUAGCCAUAGAAUGGUGCCAAAAACCAUGAACGCACUUGACACCGCUGAAUCGUUUUGAGUAACCCCCCGUGCACAGUAGUGUCUGAUGAAAAUGAAAGUCAUAAAGAACUGUUAGAGCCCACAGGAAGCACAAUUCGAACACAGCGACCCCCGAAAGCUCUGAACUCCAAACUCACAAGACCCGUCCUCAGGACCCGGCUCAGAGCAAAUGUCCCCCAGUUUGGUGCCUGUAGGUUUGAAAAUAGUGUCAUUUCUUGAGACGGAUGAGGGGCUGGCUUCUCAGCCUCCCAGACAUAAAUGGGUGCACUUGUUGAUGUUGCUUGUUAAAGGUUUUCUGUCGGUGGACAUCCACAGAUCACCGGUGUUUUCCAGCUCCAACUAAAACAGAGGAAAGACAAGUAGAAUAAAAAACAGUGUUGAUGUUUUAAAGUUGGUCGAUUUCAUUAAAACAGAGCGAUAACUUUAACACAUCUGUCUGCAGUCGGCCCACUUCUUCGACACGAUGGACAUGAUGGAGGUAAGACCGUCUUCGCCGCAGUUUUGAAUGCAUGUUUGCGUGAAACUCAACAAGCUGGAGACUCUACCCCAUGAUAUGGAAACUGUGUUUGGAGAGUGAAAGCGUCUUUCUUCCUCUGACAAACAGAAUUCUUCUGUAAGAACUAACACCAGAAGAAACCUGCUGCUGAACACACCUGUGAUUCUCAGAGUGUCUAGUGUUGACGCAUUCUGCUUUUUUGUGCCUCAAAAAUGUCCCGAGUCGAGUCUCCAGAGGAAUGUUAAUUCCUGUUUAACUGUUUCCUGUAUGAUUGGAAGUGCCUGAAGACCCCAAAGCUUCCUGGGAAAACCCACGUGGACCUCAAAGGUCUGAUGAGGCUCAGUUAAAUGUGGCAUUGAAGAAAGCAUUUAGGAGUUAUUGAAAUAACAAAAUAAAGUUCAAAUGUUCAUUUGAUCAUCAACUAAAUGAUUUCAAAUCCUAUACGCUGCUUCUAGUUAUAUUUGUGUUAUUUAAGUAUGCCUGCUUUUAAUCAAAUACAGUAAAAUUUUUAUACAUUUCAGAACAACAAUAAUUUAAUAAACAAUUUUAGAAUUUCAUCAAAUCUAUUAUUUUAAGCCACAUAAACAGUUUUAACAGGAAUUGUAGGAUUGUUUUGCACAUUAUUUUGCAGUGUUGGGAUUGGCAAUAUUUUGUUCCAUUUUAUGAUCUAAAAAAAGGGUUUGGGGGGGGGGGGGUUAGCUAUAUUUAGCACAAUUUUCCUUUUUUAAAUGUUCUACAAUUUUCAAUUUAAACUUGAAUGACACUUGGUUCUUUUUUUUCUGCCGUCUUCUGUUCUUUGAGCAUUUACCUCCUUUGUUAUUUGACGUUUUUUACGCAUGCAGAGUCACAUUUUGAGCAUUUGUCCUUUGAAGAUGUAAUGUCGACGAUAAAGAGAAGACAAGCGUGGUUUUAAACAAGGCUUGCAUUGUUUUGGUUAUAAAAUCCAGAGAUCUUGUUUUCUGACCUUGAUGACUGAUGUCCCUCUCUGGCAGCAGCCACUGCGAUCUUGCGUUGCGCUGAGUGAAUGGGAGGUGCUGUGAAAGGUUCAGGGGUGGGUUCAGACUCAACUGUGUCUUCUCUUCCUGACGGGGGUGCAGC
rnacentral:lncRNA from 1 species